rnacentral:rRNA from 1 species
AUUGAACGCUGGCGGCAUGCUUUACACAUGCAAGUCGAACGGCAGCCCGGGCUUCGGCCUGGCGGCGAGUGGCGAACGGGUGAGUAAUACAUCGGAACGUGCCCAGUAGUGGGGGAUAGCUCGGCGAAAGCCGGAUUAAUACCGCAUACGACCUGAGGGUGAAAGCGGGGGAUCUUCGGACCUCGCGCUAUUGGAGCGGCCGAUGGCAGAUUAGCUAGUUGGUGGGGUAAAGGCCUACCAAGGCGACGAUCUGUAGCUGGUCUGAGAGGACGACCAGCCACACUGGGACUGAGACACGGCCCAGACUCCUACGGGAGGCAGCAGUGGGGAAUUUUGGACAAUGGGCGAAAGCCUGAUCCAGCAAUGCCGCGUGUGUGAUGAAGGCCUUCGGGUUGUAAAGCACUUUUGGCGGGAACGAAAAGGACUGUGCCAAUACCACGGUUCGAUGACGGUACCCGCAGAAUAAGCACCGGCUAACUACGUG